CAGAUAAAUGUAAAACCGGUCAUCAACCUGCAAUGUUAACGAAGAAAACACUUUCAUUGAAGAGUACCUGCAAGGGUGAAUCAAGUUUGUAACUUCUUGUAAAUAACAAUUUCUUACUAUUUCACUGCCAUAAUACUGGACAAUGUUUGGGUGCUUGAGAUGGCUGAGUACAUUGAUCUCCUGGACCAACAUAAAGAAUAAAGAUUACAAAAAGUUGAAACAAUCUCAAGGUUGAAACGUAUGGGGCGUUCUGCAUCGAAAUGAAUUCAGCUUCAAGUACUCGUGAAAAUAACCAAAAACAUGGUUGUAAAACUAACUUCCUGAGAAAGCCAGAGAAAUCAAUUUUCCGUUGCAGGUUAAAGUGAAAAGGCAGUAAUGCAGAUAAACCCCGAACUUCAAAUAUUUCAGCCGAUUCAAGCAAUGCAGUGUUAUUAAUGAUUUUUAAUAUCACCAAUCAAAAUGUGUACGGAGAAUCCAAAGUAUUCAAGGAUUAUGAAACAAAGACGGUGCACGAAAUCUGACCUGUUCUAGCUGCCUUAUAGACUCAGCAGAUUUUGGGUCAUCUGGUAAUAAUUCAACUUCUUUCAACGCACAUAAAGCUCCUGUCUCUCUGGUUAAGAAUAAUUCAUGGAGUUACACUAGAAAAUGCUGAAGGAUUUAAGUUAUAUACACUGGUAUAGUUAAAGAACUUUUGUUCAAUCAGCAAGCUAUAGCAUCAAUGACAUUUAUAUACCUGUUUGAUGCUACGUAAACACUUCCAAAUGUCCCACGUCCAAUAAGCUUUCCUUUCUUCCACUGACCUUUAAUAGGCGUUAUAUCUGCUUUAGGGGUAGGUGGUGAAACGGGAGGACUAGCAAGAGGAGGAAGGGGUAAAGGAUAGACAUUGCCUUGAGCACAAUUCUCCCGACGUGCCACUGGGCUAUGAUCAUUUGACAGUGGAUAAUGUAAAGGUGAAGCAGAUCCACUUGGACUCCUGGAUCUACGCUGAGGACUUAAUCUUGGACUAUGAAGAGGAGAGUUAUCAACACUACUAAAAGCAUGGUUAUAAGAGAAACCUAAGCCAUGAGGAGCAUCUGAAGGAGGCAUCUCAGGGGCAGACCAAACUUGAAAAACACCUGGGAGUGUGGAAAAAACAGGACUCGUUGUAUGAUCACCACCUUUCAGUUGGCUAUGUGCAGGACUUGCAUAAGGACUAGUUGGAGCACUAGUCCAAAAGUCAGGAGGAAUUCUUUCCGGGACUAGCAGCAUCCGUGGAGGCAUCUUCCUGGAGAAGGGAGUUACAGAGUGAACUGUUCUCUUUCGAGUAUCUUGACCUAAUAAUCUGCUGAAAUAUAAAGGAAAGAACAACAAUAUUGGAUUUGUACAAUCAGAUACAUAAGUUUUAUUUCGGAAAACUUAAAGUUUCUAUGUCCAAAUCCAUGAUCAAAGUUCAGAAGUUUGCAUGUUGAAAUUCCAACCGUGCCACAUAAAUUGGGACAUAGAUUAUUAGGAAAUUGGGACCAGGAGGUCACAGGUUCAAGCUUUAGAAAUAGCCCUUGGCAGAAAUGAAAGGUAAGGUUGCGUACAAUACACCUUUGUGAUGGGGCCUUUUCCCGAACCCUGCGCAUAGCGGGAGCUUUAGGCACCGGGCUUCCCUUUUUAGAGUAUUAUGAAAUUGUUCAAAAACAUGAUGACUGUCAGCCAACUACAAUCCUAAAAUAUUUGCUUGUAAAA